CGGGAAUUGCCCAAAUGGUGAACAAACCAUGUUCUUUCGAAAGAGGAACGCUAAUACUAUUAGGGUGAUCUGAAAUUUAUUGCUCUGCAACGAUUCUGAGGACAGAUAUUGGACUCAGCUGGACUCGAUGUCGGAGAGUAUAUCUGAUAUAAAGUGGUCAGCCUUUUACUUCUUUUACCCUGUGGCUGUGUCGUUCAGUGUCCGCAGUAUUGACGAC